rnacentral:rRNA from 1 species
GACGAAGGAUGCAAGCGUUAUCCGGAUUCAUUGGGUUUAAAGGGUGCGUAGGCGGCUUGUUAAGUCAGGAGUGAAAGUUUGCGGCUCAACCGUAAAAUUGCUUUUGAUACUGGCAGGCUAGAAUUAGGAUGAGGUUAGCGGAAUGUGGCAUGUAGCGGUGAAAUGCAUAGAUAUGCCAUAGAACACCAAUUGCGAAGGCAGCUGGCUAGACCUAUAUUGACGCUGAGGCACGAAAGCGUGGGGAGCGAACAGG